rnacentral:rRNA from 1 species
CCAGACUCCUACGGGAGGCAGCAGUGGGGGAUAUUGGACAAUGGGGGGAACCCUGAUCCGGCGACGCCGCGUGAGUGAAGAAGUAUUUCGGUAUGUAAAGCUCUGUCAGCAGGGAAGAAAGAAAUGACGGUACCUGACCAAGAAGCCCCGGCUAACUACGUGCCAGCAGCCGCGGUAAUACGUAGGGGGCAAGCGUUAUCCGGAUUUACUGGGUGUAAAGGGAGCGUAGACGGCAGCGCAAGUCUGAAGUGAAAUGCCGGGGCUUAACCCCGGAACUGCUUUGGAAACUGUGCAGCUAGAGUGCAGGAGAGGUAAGUGGAAUUCCUAGUGUAGCGGUGAAAUGCGUAGAUAUUAGGAGGAACACCAGUGGCGAAGGCGGCUUACUGGACUGUAACUGACGUUGAGGCUCGAAAGCGUGGGGAGCAAACAGGAUUAGAUACCCCUGUAG